AUGCAGCUGAAUGUCACUGGGGAGCAAGGGAGGUUCUCAGCAUGGGGAGGAGAGAGAAGGGCUGGGGACAGGAUACCUGGAGCACUGUGCAGCUGGGAAAGACAAGGAAAGGGCAAUCCUGCACAUCCUGGCUCACACACACUCCCAGGUUUAGAACAUCAGAUGACUCUUAGCAGAUAUGAAAUGCUUCUGGAAGCCAAACAGUGGUUCUGUUCAUACCCUUUGGACCACCCUGCUGUAAGUUACCAAUCCUCGUUAAAACAGAGUAUAUAUUAUUUCUUUGUAGUCUG
rnacentral:lncRNA from 1 species